rnacentral:rRNA from 1 species
AUUGAACGCUGGCGGCAUGCCUUACACAUGCAAGUCGGACGGCAGCACGGGAGCAAUCCUGGUGGCGAGUGGCGAACGGGUGAGUAAAGUAUCGGAACGUGCCCAGUCGUGGGGGAUAACGUAGCGAAAGUUACGCUAAUACCGCAUACGAUCUAUGGAUGAAAGCGGGGGAUCGCAAGACCUCGCGCGAUUGGAGCGGCCGAUAUCAGAUUAGGUAGUUGGUGGGGUAAAGGCUCACCAAGCCAACGAUCUGUAGCUGGUCUGAGAGGACGACCAGCCACACUGGGACUGAGACACGGCCCAGACUCCUACGGGAGGCAGCAGUGGGGAAUUUUGGACAAUGGACGCAAGUCUGAUCCAGCCAUUCCGCGUGCAGGACGAAGGCCUUCGGGUUGUAAACUGCUUUUGUACAGAACGAAAAGGUUUCUAUUAAUACUAGGAGCUCAUGACGGUACUGUAAGAAUAAGCACCGGCUAACUACGUGCCAGCCGCCGCAGUAA